AUGGUACUCCCUCCGUUCGGAAUUACUUGUCGCGGAAAUGGAUGUAUCUAGAUGUAUUUUAGUUCUAGAUACAUCCAUAUCCAAGACAAGUAAUUCCGAACGGAGGGAGUACAAU
rnacentral:pre_miRNA from 1 species